rnacentral:lncRNA from 1 species
AAAGUUAUAAGAAGUCCAUUAAUUUCAACCACAUAUUUUUAUCACAUAGUCAUAUCCGCAUCAGAUAAUUGCAGCAUUUACCCAGUAUAUAAACUAUCUUAUUUUACUUCUACUUUGUUUUAAUGCUCUGUUUUAGGCUCAGUGUAUAUUUUAUGCUUAAGUCACAGCUGAGAGUAGCCAUAUUUUUACAAGCUAAGUAGCCAUGAGUAGACAAGGUAGAAUAAUCAGAAGACCAUAAACUUUUUGAUAGAGGAGGAUGUGCCAUCAAAGACUUUCUGGUAAUAGCAAGCAUCCAGGUGAGAGAACUAGUAAAACAAGACUGCUGUAGUUAGUUAGAGAACAAUUUAUUUGAGAAACCAGGUGGCCUUCUGAACUCAGCAGACCCAAAGGAAGAUACUGGGGAAGUAGAUGGAGGGAAAGAUGCUCAUGUUCUUAGCCUCAGUAGAAGGGCUGGACUGGGGACAAGAUCUAUGUUUUAAAAACUUUGAAUGUGUGAAAUUACAGAAAGUCCCAAAAUUCUUCCCCUAGUAGCUAUCAUGAUCAAUGAUACCAUGUCUGUUUCUUGUUGGGAGAUUUUGUUACACAGUGGAUUUUCAGAAAUCCAGAGUGAGAUGACAAGGUAAAGAUGCUCAACUAUUAAGAGUUUUUUUGUUUGUUUGUUUUUUGUUUGUUUGUUUGUUUUCAUUUCAUUGGAAAAGGGGAAACAGUAAUAUAGGAGCUGAUGGCUAACAUUUAAAACUAGAUCAAGUGAACACAACCUCAAACCCCCUACUACUCUAUGGAGAGAGAAAGAAAAUAUCAGGAAGUGAAAAAGGUAAUUUCCAUAGGAUUGUUGUCUCCUGCAUUAAACAUAGUUUUCCAUUCACGUCAUAUAUAUGGAAACAAGAGUCUCAGAUUCAUGAAGGGAAAUACGUCUUAAGCAACCUAAGAGUGCUCUUUAAAGAGUCGGAGGUGGAAGAGAUAAGCGAUGC